rnacentral:rRNA from 1 species
GAUGAACGCUGGCGGCGUGCCUAAUACAUGCAAGUCGAGCGAACGGACGAGAAUCUUGCUUCUCUGAUGUUAGUGGCGGACGGGUGAGUAACACGUGGAGAACCUACCUAUAAGACUGGGAUAACUUCUAGAACCCGUAGCUAAUACCAGAUAAUAUUUUGAACCGCAUGGUUCAAAAGUGAAAGACUGUCUUGCUGUCACUUAUAUAUGGAUCCGCGCUGCAUUAGCUAGUUGGUAAGGUAACGGCUUACCAAGGCAACGAUGCAUAGCCGACCUGAGAGGGUGAUAGGAGACGCUGGAACAGGGACACGGUCCAGACUCCUACGGGAAGCCGGAGUAGGGAAUCUUGCGAAAUGGGAGAAAGCAAGACGGAGAAACGCCGCGUGAGUGAUGAAGGUAUUGGGAUCGUAAAACUCUGUUAUUAGGGAAGAACAUAUGUGUAAGUAACUGUACAAAUAUUGACGGUACCUGAUCAAAAAGCCACGGCUAACUACGUG